AUUGAUGCGGAAUACUGAGAACCAAACCAAAACAAAAAAAAAUAUAUAAAACCAUGACACACUAUUUUCCAUGACAGCUAAUACUCCAGCAAGAAACAUGAGGCUUCAAAUGAUGUGAUGGGGAAUUUAACCCAAGACUGGAAGAUAAGGUGAAAUGGAAAACUGGAGAUGAUCAGAUGCUCGAAGAGAAGGAGAACCUUUUCUAGAAAUACCAUCUGGAACUGGAAAAUAUCAAGUGGAGGAGCAACCAUCCCUUUUCUAACAGGAACAGUUACCAGGACAGACUGACUGCUUCACCAUGAUGAUCCCAGAAGAUUCUCUGGAAUUAUUGCUCAAAGGUUGCUGCUGAGGUUGUCCCAUGAAACCCUGCUCUCCCCAUCUGCUUAACCUUCACAUGACCUCCAUCUUCAGUAAUUCAAAUAGCUGAGGGACUAGAAAGACAACACCUCUGCAAUAGAAGUUCCAUACAACUGGCAGAAUAUGAGAACACUGUCAUUCCCAUGUGGAGCUCCUACAACGUCAACGUGAUGCCAGUGGACAUAGCAAGCUGCCUUAAAUACCAACUGCAGAAACACCAUAGCACUAUUAGCUGAAAAUUCUUGACUCUACCAGCUAGUUCAAGAGCAAGUCUGAAGCAGGGGUUUGCACUGUGCAGGCUGUAUCUAUCCCAUAGGCAACUGCGACUGUGGCUCAUAGUCUUCCAGAUGAAUUUGGCUAUUCACUUGGCUAAGCAAUUUGGCCAACACAAUUGUGAGAUGUUGAAGAGCAAGCAACAUGGUCAGAAAUGUGCAAGUGAAAUAAUACCACAACAAGUGACACCUCCUGUUUACAUCAGGUAACAGAGAAGAGCAUCGGUCAGUGGGGACUGCUGGGCACCCCACGUAAUCUCAUUGACCAAAAUGAGUGGUCUAAGGGCUCUUUCAUCCUGUAAUUUGGCAACUAGAGCAAAGAAAAUGGCACUGAAUGGAAAAGCCAAUUUCUGGUUUUCUUGAUGCGAAGAGUUCUCCCAGAAAGUCUGGUCCAAGCACAACAACAAUCACAAAUAUGCCAGUGAAUGCUCUGCUGGGGAGUUUGCCCAAAAAACAUUAUAAGGCCCAGAUGAACAUCAUCCAGAGAAAUUCUGUUUUGUUCUAAAAAAUGUUAGUGAAACAAAGACUGGCUAUUGUUUUCAUCAUUGUGCUGCUCAUCUAUUCUGCUUUCACUUGCAAGCUUCCACUGGUAUCAACUGUUUUUGUUUGUUUGUUUGUUUGUUUGUUUGUUGCAUUUGAGUGUACCAUAUUAUUCUUUCCUUUCAUAGUCCUGAAACAUUCAACAAACAAGAAAGCAUGAGGAAGUAUUUUUCUCUUUGAGGAAGCAACAGAGAACAAAAGAGGGAUAAAGAAAAAAAAAAAAAGACAAAAAUCAAUUUGACCAUCAUUUUGGAAUAUCACUCAAAUGUGAACAGAGUAGAAGAAAAGGUUAAAGCCCAUAGCAGUUAGAGAUCUAGUGUGCAGCUCUAGGCAGACUUUUGUAUGCUUCUUGUACUUUACACUUCUGCCUUCUGAAUCCUUCUGCUGGUAAGUAUAUAUUAUUAUCAACUUCUGUGUUACCAUGGAGAAAAGGAGACACAGUGAAAGAACAAACAUGAAAAAACAAUGAUACUGAAGAGAAACAAAAAUCACUGGUUAUAGGAAAAGACAGAAUCUACCUGUAAAGAUACAACAACAACAACAACAACAAAAGAAAAGAAAGAAAAAAAAAAA